CCAGAGGGCCGGGCGGCCGCGGGGCAUUUAUGCCGCGAGGAAAGUCCGGGCUCCAUGGACCCACGGUGCCGGAUAAUGUCCGGCGGGGGCGACCCCAGGGAAAGUGCCACAGAAAGCAGGUUGCCCACGGCUUCGGCCCGGCGAUAGUGAAAGGGUGCGGUAAGAGCGCACCGCGCGCGCCAGCAAUGGCCGCGGCACGGCAAACCCCACCGGGAGCAAGACCGAAUAGGGAUGGCAUAUAGGCCUGGGUCCGGCCUGUCGUCCGGGUUGGUCGCUUGAGGACGGGAGCAAUCCCGUUCCUAGAGGAAUGGUCGCACAGGCGGAGUGAUCCGCUGGACAAAACCCGGCUUACAGGCCCUCUGGCAGU
rnacentral:RNase_P_RNA from 1 species